GACGAACGCUGGCGGCGUGCCUAAUACAUGCAAGUCGAGCGCAGGAAGUCAUCCGAACCCUUCGGGGGGACGUUGACGGAAUGAGCGGCGGACGGGUGAGUAACACGUAAAGAACCUGCCCUCAGGUCUGGGAUAACCACGAGAAAUCGGGGCUAAUACCGGAUGGGUCAUCGGACCGCAUGGUCCGAGGAUGAAAGGCGCUCCGGCGUCGCCUGGGGAUGGCUUUGCGGUGCAUUAGCUAGUCGGUGGGGUAAUGGCCCACCAAGGCGACGAUGCAUAGCCGACCUGAGAGGGUGAUCGGCCACACUGGGACUGAGACACGGCCCAGACUCCUACGGGAGGCAGCAGUAGGGAAUCUUCCACAAUGGACGAAAGUCUGAUGGAGCAACGCCGCGUGAACGAUGAAGGCCCUCGGGUCGUAAAGUUCUGUUGUAAGGGAAGAACAAGUGCCGCAGGCAAUGGCGGCACCUUGACGGUACCUUGCGAGAAAGCCACGGCUAACUACGUG
rnacentral:rRNA from 1 species